GCUGAAAGCCCGGCCACUGCGUACUAGGUCACUUGUGAUGUCAUUCGGAGCCUACCGAGAUAACCAAGGACAACCUCCUCAUCUCAAGAUCACAUCUACACAAAGGUUCCCAUUGAAGACAACAUGCACAGACUUGAAGCUGGAAGGAUAUAAGCCCACAGCUGCUUGGCACUGCUCCAUGGGGAAUCUGCCCUAAAAUGGAGCCCAUAAGAGGAAAGAAGAACCAAAACACGGAGGACAAAUCUAAGAUCCAAUGACCAACUUUUGACUUCCUGGAUCCAGCCGUGCCUGAAAUGAUCUCUAUCCUGGAACAUUUCAGUUGCUUGAACCACAUCACCUUUUUUUCCCCCUUAAGUUAAUGUCAGUUGGAUUUCUGUCAUUUACUAUUGGGAGAG